GACGAACGCUGGCGGCGUGCUUAACACAUGCAAGUCGAACGGAAAGGCCCUGAUUUUGCGGGGUGCUCGAUUGGCGCACGGGUGAGUAACACGUGAGUAACCUGCCCUUGACUUUGGGAUAACUUCAGGAAAAUGGGGCUAUUAUCGGAUAGGAGCUCCUGCUGCACGGUGGGGGUUGGAAAGUUUCGGCGGUUUGGGAUGGACUCGCGACUUAUCCGCUUCGUGGUGGAGUAGUGGCUUACAAAGGUUUUGACGGGUAGCCGGCCUGGGAGGGUGACCGGCCACAUGGGGACUGAGGGACGGCGCAGUCGGCUACGGGAGGCAGCAGUGGAGAGUAUUGCGCAGUGAGCGGGAGCGUGAGGCGACAGCGCCGCGUGCGUGAUGACGUCCUUCGAGUUGUAAACCGCUUUCGACUGAGACGAAGCGUUAGUGACGGUAAUGGGUAAAGAAGCACCGGCUAACUACGUG
rnacentral:rRNA from 1 species